AUUGAACGCUGGCGGCAUGCCUUACACAUGCAAGUCGAACGGUAACAGGUCUUCGGAUGCUGACGAGUGGCGAACGGGUGGGUAAUACAUCGGAACGUGCCUAGUAGUGGGGGAUAACUACUCGAAAGAGUGGCUAAUACCGCAUGAGAUCUACGGAUGAAAGCAGGGGAUCGCAAGACCUUGUGCUACUAGAGCGGCCGAUGGCAGAUUAGGUAGUUGGUGGGAUAAAAGCUUACCAAGCCGACGAUCUGUAGCUGGUCUGAGAGGACGAUCAGCCACACUGGGACUGAGACACGGCCCAGACUCCUACGGGAGGCAGCAGUGGGGAAUUUUGGACAAUGGGCGAAAGCCUGGUCCAGCAAUGCCGCGUGCAGGAUGAAGGCCUUCGGGUUGUAAACUGCUUUUGUACGGAACGAAAAGCCCCGGGUUAAUACCCUGGGGUCAUGACGGUACCGUAAGAAUAAGCACCGGCUAACUACGUGCCAGCCGCCGCGGUAA
rnacentral:rRNA from 1 species